GACAGAGGGUGCAAACGUUGUUCGGAAUUACUGGGCGUAAAGCGCGUGUAGGCUGCUUGGAAAGUCGGAUGUGAAAGCCCUGGGCUCAACCUAGGAAGUGCAUUCGAAACUUCUGAGCUGGAGUUCUGGAGAGGAAGGUGGAAUUCUCGGUGUAGAGGUGAAAUUCGUAGAUAUCGAGAGGAACACCGGUGGCGAAGGCGGCCUUCUGGACAGUGACUGACGCUGAGACGCGAAAGCGUGGGGAGCGAACAGG
rnacentral:rRNA from 1 species